AUGCCAGACGGCGAGGAAUGGGACUGGGCAGUGCAUACAGACAACCUGCGGGCGCAGCUGGAACGCGCCCAGAAGAGGUUCAAGAAAUAUGCAGACAUCAACAGGACUGAACGUUCCUUUCAGAUUGGGGAACAAGUGCUUCUAAAACUGCAGCCUCAUGUUCAGAAAUCGGUGGCGAGCAGGCCUUGUGCAAAAUUGGUCUACAAGUUCUUUGGCCCCUUCAAGAUCUUGGACAAGAUUGGGAACCUGGCAUACAGGCUGGACUUGCCCCAAGACAGCCGCAUACAUCUAGUCUUCCAUAUAUCCCAGCUGAAACCAUUCACUCCAAACUACUCGCCAGUGUUCUCUGAACUUCCCAGCACAGGGGAUCUGACGAUAGUGGAUACUACACCUGUGGCUAUCUUGGACAGGUGGAUGAUGAAACGAGGCAAUGCUUCCGUGGUUCAGCUCCAUGUGAAGUGGGACAAACCAGCAACAGCGACGACAUGGGAGGAUUACGAUGUUCUCUGUCGACACUUUCCGGCUGCUCCAAUCUAGAACCAUCAAGACUCGAGCGAGGACGCUCGUUCUGGAGACAGGGAGAGUGUCACACCAGCCAUGGUGUGA
rnacentral:rRNA from 1 species